AGAAGUAACGGACAGACACAUAUUCGCAUAGGUACUUAUUAUAUUAAGUUUAAAUACUGAACCAUCCUGUAGCGUAUGUUGUUAUGGUUUAGUAAUAAUUUUAUCUACAGUCUAUAACUGUAUGUAUGUAUUAUUUGCUGUUCACAAGAAUUCCCACAUUUGAUCACAAGUGUUUCUUUGUUAAAAUGUUUAACAAAGGCGGUGUAGUGUUAAUAUUCGCUAUCAUCAUUUUCAUUGGAUGUACAGAGGUACACAGCGCGACCAUAGACCAGAACACCUGUAGGAUGGACUGCGACGCGGUGUGCCAAGGGAAAGGUGUCGCCUCGGGGAAGUGUGUUCAUGGGUCAUGCCACUGCGCAGGAGGUGGGUCUGAACCGUGAAAUAUAAAUUAAAUUGCGUUCAUAAAUAAAUGUGUGUUAUA